GACGAACGCUGGCGGCGUGCUUAACACAUGCAAGUCGAACGGUAAGGCCCUUCGGGGUACACGAGUGGCGAACGGGUGAGUAACACGUGGGUGAUCUGCCCUGCACUUUGGGAUAAGCCUGGGAAACUGGGUCUAAUACCGGAUAGGACCACGCGCUUCAUGGUGUGUGGUGGAAAGCUUUUGCGGUGUGGGAUGGGCCCGCGGCCUAUCAGCUUGUUGGUGGGGUAAUGGCCUACCAAGGCGACGACGGGUAGCCGGCCUGAGAGGGUGUCCGGCCACACUGGGACUGAGAUACGGCCCAGACUCCUACGGGAGGCAGCAGUGGGGAAUAUUGCACAAUGGGCGCAAGCCUGAUGCAGCGACGCCGCGUGAGGGAUGACGGCCUUCGGGUUGUAAACCUCUUUCAGCAGGGACGAAGCGCAAGUGACGGUACCUGUAGAAGAAGCACCGGCCAACUACGUGCCAGCAGCCGCAGUAAAAC
rnacentral:rRNA from 1 species